GCUAGUAAUGGCAGGUCAGCAUACUGCCGUGAAUACGUUCCCGGGCCUUGUACACACCGCCCGUCACACCAUGAGAGUUGGAAAUACCCGAAGCCUGUGAGCUAACUUUUAGAGGCAGCAGUCGAAGGUAGAGCCAAUGAUUGGGGUGAAGUCGUAACAAGGUAUC
rnacentral:rRNA from 1 species